rfam:Phytophthora nicotianae strain race 0 contig2988, whole genome shotgun sequence.
GGGCACGUAGCUCAAAUGGAUAAGAGCACCACAAUUUGUGCGGAAGGACGCGGGUUCGAUUCCCGCCGUGUCCU